AUUGAACGCUGGCGGCAGGCCUAACACAUGCAAGUCGAACGAGUGGCGGACGGGUGAGUAAUGUCUGGGAAACUGCCCGAUGGAGGGGGAUAACUACUGGAAACGGUAGCUAAUACCGCAUACCAUCGGAUGUGCCCAGAUGGGAUUAGCUAGUAGGUGGGGUAACGGCUCACCUAGGCGACGAUCCCUAGCUGGUCUGAGAGGAUGACAAGCCAGACUGGAACUGAGAACCGGUCCAGACUCCGACGGGAGGAAGCAGGUGGGAAUAUUGCGCAAGGGGCGAAAGCCUGAUGCAGCAAUGCCGCGGGUGUGAAGAAGGCCGGCGGGUUGUAAAGUACUUUCAGCGGGGAGGCGUUACGCGCAGAAGAAGCAUCGGCUAACUCCGUGCCAGCAGCCGCGGUAAUAC
rnacentral:rRNA from 1 species